GGGGACUUAGCUCAGUUGGCUAGAGCACUGCUAUGGCAUAGCAGGGGUCGGGGGUUCGAAUCCCCCAGUCUCCACCA
rnacentral:tRNA from 1 species